AACGAACGCUGGCGGCAUGCCUAACACAUGCAAGUCGAACGAGACCUUCGGGUCUAGUUGCGCACGGGUGCGUAACGCGUGGGAACCUGCCCUUAUGUUCGGAAUAACUCCCCGAAAGGUGUGCUAAUACCGGAUAAUGUCUUCGGACCAAAGAUUUAUCGCCUUUGGAUGGGCCCUCGUUGGAUUAGCUUGUUGGUAUGGUAAAAGCCUAACAAGGCGACGAUCCAUAGAUGGUCUGAGAGGAUGAUCAGCCACACUGGGACUGAGACACGGCCCAGAAUAGUACGGGAGGGAGGAGUGGGGAAUAGAGGAAAAUGGGGGAAAGCAUGAACAAGCAAGGACGGGUGAGUGAUGAAGGGAUGAGGGUAGUAAAGCGCUUUUAAACGGGAAGAUAAUGACAGUAACGGGAGAAUAAGCACCGGCUAACUACGUG
rnacentral:rRNA from 1 species